rnacentral:misc_RNA from 1 species
AGCCACUUCUGCUUACCAGGUAUAGAACUUUAUUCAUUGAUGACCUGGGAUUGUAGCAGUAUGUGCUUUCCCAACAUCCGUUUCUUAACUUUUCUAAAUAAAAGGAUGAAGCUAGGGAAGAAAAUAAUGAACAAGUAGAUUAAUUCUCAUUAUUCAUCACUAACUAUCUAGGUAUAACUAUACAUUUGAAUAAUUGUUUAAAGUCUUAUUUAUGGUAUUCAGAUCGAAGGUGCAGCAAACAUA